UAUCACUAAAUGUUAGGUAUACUAAUUAUCCUGAGAAUGAUUUUUUAAUAGAUAGAAAUAUAUGCGUGUGCGCGUGUGUGUGUUGUUACGUCACGUUUUCCAGGUUUAUAAAUACGAUCACGGUCUAGGAGAAGAUCAAAACGAUUACGUAUUUCACGAUCUCAACAACUUCGAGCAAUUUGUUCAUAAUUUUAUUGCAAAACAAAAGAAAAAUAAUCCAAAUUUCUAAUCGUCUUACAAUCAGUUAACAUAAUAAAUAAAAACAAAAGAAAACACACAAGUGGAUAAUAUCGUCAAAAAUCGAAUUGUAAUAAGAAA
rnacentral:lncRNA from 1 species